GGAAACCGGAGCUAAUACCGGAUAAUAUAUUGAACCGCAUGGUUCAAUAGUGAAAGACGGUUUUGCUGUCACUUAUAGAUGGAUCUGCGCCGCAUUAGCUAGUUGGUAAGGUAACGGCUUACCAAGGCAACGAUGCGUAGCCGACCUGAGAGGGUGAUCGGCCACACUGGAACUGAGACACGGUCCAG
rnacentral:rRNA from 1 species